GGCGUAGGCGGUUCGGUCAGUCCGUUGUGAAAUCCCUGGGCUCAACCCAGGAACUGCAACGGAUACUUCCGAGCUAGAGUGCAGGAGGGGAGAGCGGAAUUCCUGGUGGAGCGGUGAAAUGCGUAGAUAUCAGGAGGAACGCCAGUGGCGAAAGCGGCUCUCUGGACUGUUACUGACGCUGAGGCCCGAAAGCUAGGGGAGCGAACAGGAUUAGAUACCCUGGUAGUC
rnacentral:rRNA from 1 species